rnacentral:rRNA from 1 species
AACGUAGGGGACAAACGUUAUCCGGAGUUACUGGGCGUAAAGGGCGUGUAGGCGGUUUGUUAAGUCUGGCGUGAAAGCUCUCGGCUAAACCGGGAGAGGUCGUUGGAUACUGGCAAACUAGAGGACGGUAGAGGCGUGUGGAAUUCCGGGUGUAGUGGUGAAAUGCGUAGAGAUCCGGAGGAACACCAGUGGCGAAGGCGACACGCUGGGCCGUACCUGACGCUAAAGCGCGACAGCAUGGGGAGCAAACGGG